CUUCACCGAGCCGAGGAACAGGGGACGAUCGGGAUCGCGUCCCUGUCCAUAGGUCGCGAGCAGCGCCUGCGCCUC
rnacentral:antisense_RNA from 1 species